rnacentral:misc_RNA from 1 species
AGGAAACAACCAGGUGAAAAGGGGAACAAUAAUUAGAAGGGCGCCGCUUGGCAUCUACACAGCAAACUACCGCCAGCAUCACCACAUCAGGUAGCCAUCACAUCUUCCUAGCGAGACACACGCACACACAUAUAUACAUAUACGCAUACAUGCAUGCGCACACACGUUACUCAGCGGUCUUGUUGCCCCUCUCCCCUCUUUGCUCGGGCUCACCCACACAUCUCUGCAUACGAGCGAGCACGCCGAACGCACCUCCCGUGCAGCGCUGCUUCCACCCCGCCUCCUGUCUGUGACUCGAGUCUGACCCUCCUCCUUUUUGCCGGCACACAACGCAAAGCACGAGCGCUUGGGUCGACGGUGCUGUGCGCGUUGAUCACUGCCGUCGUACGUCGCAUCUUUUCUUUAUUCGUACCAUCGCACUCGCUGCGUGUAUCUCGCCUACGUGAAGGGAAGUCAGUUCGCCUUCUGUUCACUGCCGCCGUUGCCGAAGCCUCGUUGAGCGCCUCAUCACUUUUCUGUGUUUUUCUCCUUCGUCUCUCUCCCUUGUCCCGUGAAGUCGAUGACCUCUGUAAUCCUCGUGAACCCCAUCGCCUUUGGGCCAAAUCCGAAGACGAAGGACAACGCCCUGAUUCAGUCCAUGCACGUCGGCAACGCGAAGGCUGACAUGGAUCGCUCGCAGGUCUGCGCGCUUGUAACCGAACUAGAGUCCUUCUUCAAGGUGAGCUGCGGCGUCCGCACCGUCGUCGUUCACCAAUCCCGCGAGCCGAAACUGUGCCGGGUGACGCUGGAGGAGCGCGGUGAGAGUGUCUGUGUCGCGGACAGCCUCUCCGUCCACAAUGUCGUCGACGGCAACGGCGUCAUUCAGCGCCAUCUUGUUGUCUUUUACCCAAUGAAUCCGUUCCGCCAAGGUGAGCUGGCCCGCAAGCAGCUUGUCAACCACAUCACCAAGGCAGCGGAGGAGAAUGCCGCGAUCGAGCUGAUUGAUCUGCGGCCUUUUGAGGAGGAGGGCAAAUACCUGGAGGGGUCGGGCUCUCUCAUCUUUUCGCCCGGCGGCAGGUACGUGUACACGGCCGUUUCUCAGCGUAGCCAUCCCGAUGUGUUGGAGGCGCUGUGCCGGCCAGAAAACCUGAACAUUCCUCCUGAAAAUCGCUUUCUUCUGCGCUGCAAGAACGCGAUACCGCACACGAACUUGCUGGGGUGGUGCGGCACGGGUAUCUGCGCCUGGGCCAUCAGCAGCCUUGUCUUCGAUGUGGAGGAGGAGGAGGUGGCCUUCUACGACCACCUGUCCGCCGUCUACUCCUGCGUCCUGGAACUGAGUGAGGCGGAGGUGGAGAAGUUUGCGGCGAGUGCGCUGGAGGUGCCUGUGCAGCCACAGAGUGGGAGCGCAGGCAACGCGCACUACGUUUUGGUAAUCUCAGAAACGGCCCUGGCGGGACUCACUUCCAAGAACCGUGAGCUGCUCAUAGACUGGUACGGCGAAGAGAACGUGCACACCUUCUACGGCGAAGUCCUCGAGCGCCGCUGCGGUACCUCGCUGCCUUCCUGCAUUGCUGCCUCCUACACACUGGGGUCUCGGCCGCCUUUGCCAUCGCAGCCGUCCACAAUUGAGUUGCUGCGGCUCGGUGCCAAUAGCUGAGGCGGCGUGGUGCUCUGAUGGAUGCAAACGACCCUUCACAUCCCUCGACGCUCCAGCGCGUUCUUUUUCGUUGUGCAUGUGUCGGUGGUUUCCCUUUUCCCACGUAUUAGCACGUCACUCUGUGCGUUUUCUGUUAGCGUGUCUGCGCCCACCCAUCUCUUACGCACACACGCUCGCAUGCACCCCACCCCCGCCCCCUCCUCCUCGGCUUUGUCCAUACCGCUGCCGUCUGGUGCCACGCGCCUGCUGCUGAAAGGCCUAGCUACGGUGAUAUGUGUGUGUGUGUGUGUGUGUGUUGGAGAGAGGGACGAUAUUGGAAGUGGGCGGGGCAUUAGAGGUGUGAGAGCACAGAAUCCGCAGCGUGAAAUGGGCUCUGCGGCCUCCUGGAAGAUCUUUUCUUAUUUCUUUUUUGGUUUUCAAAGAUAAGAAAUGGCGAACGAAAGGAAAAACGCUGGUGCUCGUGGACCACUCAAAGUGACGCGCACUGCUGUGUACCUCAGGAUGGGUCGAACUUGUUGCCCGCCACACGCCGACGCACGAGCACGUUGCGGGAUACCACGCGCCAUAAUUUGGCACCGGUGCACCCUUGAUGAAAGCAAUGAGGUACACAGGGACGCCCAACCACGCCCUCUCUUAGGCGUACCCGCAAAUUCUUUCCCCUCACUAGACGAAACCUCUCACCUCCCGUGUUGAAGAUGCGCUCAUUCAAGGUUUGCUUGUUCAGUUUCGCAUUUGCAUGCCCCUGCUGUCGUGGUGUAGUGCGCCGUGUUCGAGCCGUGCGUGGCCACCUCGUUGUCGUCUCCCCCCCCCUCCACCUUCCCUCUUACUGUUGCUCUCACAGCCUCUCGCGGUCCUGGCACUGGAUACACACACAGUGGAGAUGGCGGAGGGUGAAGAGAAGAACGGUUGAUCGUGUGACGGUUCGUUUCACCAGGCGCACGUGUGGGUGGUCGCCCUCUUUUGCUUGUAUCCAUCCUGCAGACAGCACAAACGCCUUCGCACAGGCGCACACACGCGCGAAAGAGAGUAAGGUCUGUCAGGACGAUGAAGCAAAAAAAAAAAAACGGAAAUACACGGCUCGUAUGAAAAGGAAGAAAAUGCGUCUCUCUGCUUGUAAUGUGCGGACGGUCGCUGGGGGCGGCAUUCUCCCUCCUCUUCUCUGUUGUGUGCAUGAACGUGCACGUUUAGAAUGAUUAUCGUGCUUCGGUGGUCACCCGUUGCAUGUGCUUGGGUGCAGCACGUUACUCGCUUCUCGCUCUCGUUACACCUCCCUCCCCCUCCCUAUUUUUUUUGUUCCCCUCUUUUUCGUCGUGUUGUGCCUUUAUGUGGUUGCCAUCUCGAUUCCUCUUUUCCUUGUCAUGUUUCUCCUCCGCUCGCGUGGUCGUCUCGGAGAGACAGCUUCCCACCUUACAGCGUCCCCCACGCACAUCUCUUUUCUCCUUUGGUUCCCUUCACUGUCCGUAGAGGCGCAUGGGAAGGUCGAGUUGCCGCGCUGCAAGAUUGGCAACAACGGAAAAAACUGAAGUGCAGAGGCGACUAGUGGCCACCCCCCCCCCACAAAAAAAAAAGAUCGAACGCCGGAAAGGGAAAGGAAUGUCAUACGCCAGUUACUACCAGAGGGGGGGGGUGGCGAAGUGCCUUCGCGUAUGCCUCUGUACACCACUUCCGUAGUUUUUUGUUGUUGGUCGGUAGGUCUGCCCUCGUAUGCUCUUUGCUGGCCCUGUCUGUGUUUCGCCAGCUUCAUGUCGUCUUUUGCGCUUGCAGCGCUCUCGAUAACGAGAAGAAAAAGAGAAACAAGGACGAAGAAAGCGUCGC